GCCUGUGUGGCUCAGUGGUUGAGCAUCUGCCUUUGGCUCAGAUCAUGAUCCUGGGGUCCUGGGAUCGAGCCCCACAUCAGGCU
rnacentral:tRNA from 1 species